GUCAAUGACAAUAAUAAUAAUGGGCAGCUCGAUACUAGGGGAUCGGGCCGAGCGUGUCCAGCGCCAGUAGCAGCGCGAACCCAGCGGUGUUGGCCAGGGGGAGGAGAGAAGGCUGCUGGCCAUCUCCUGGGUUGCGGCAGCAUGGAGAAGAGGGGGUGGUGGCGGCUGGAGGUUGCUGCCGGCGAGGAGAAAGCUGGCGGCGUGCGUCUAGUGGCGACGUUGCGAGGCGGAAUACCCUCCACAAUCCUCUCGCCCCUCUCCUUGAAAUCGGUUCUUGAUCUCCGCUCGCUUGUCGUGCGGCUCCGACGAUUCCGAAUUCUUCAAAGCUAGAAGCAACCUCGAUUUCCCCACGAAUGAUGGGGAACGAGCAGCGAAAUGGAGCAGAAUCGAGUAGUCCGACGGCAGCGGCGCCCGAGGCCACAGAGACGGCGGGGGAGGCGGCGGAGAAGGGCGCCUGUGUGGCCAUAGGCAUGGGGUGAUGCGGCGGCUGUGAGGCAGAAGGGGAUGGCGACGAGCGGGAGGGGGAUAGGAUGUGCCGGAUCUGCCACUUGAGUUCUCGUUCCGGGGAGGGGGGUUCCGAGCUGAUCCUGCUGGGGUGUCAUUGCAAGGGCGAGCUCGGCUUCGCGCACUGCCACUGUGCCGAGGCCUGGUUUAUGAUGUUGCGAGAUCUGUGGCGCCAAUGCGGAAAACAUCACAAUUGUUAUAGACAGCAGGGUUCUGGAGGAAGGUCAUGCCAGGAGAGAGUUGAACACUCAAAAUCCACAUGACAACGGCGAGAGGAUCGUUUGCUGGUCGGCGACGACAAGAAGAAAAAGGGGAAGCCCCUUUUCCUUGCACUGUUCAGUGGCGGCAACGAAGAGGGAGAGAAGAGAAGUUACGGGAGAACGAAGAGAGAAAAAGAGUUUUAUUCAAUUAAAUUAAUUCAAAAUGUCAAUGGAUAAAUUCGUAAAUGUAAAACUAAGUGGUUGCAUAA